UACGUAGGGUGCAAGCGUUUAAUCGGAAUUACUGGGCGUAAAGCGUGCGCAGGCGGUUUUGUAAGUCUGUCGUGAAAUCCCCCGGGCUCAACCUGGGAAUGGCGUGGAGACUGCAAGGCUAGAGUUUGGCAGAGGGGGGGUAGAAUUCCACGUGUAGCAGUGAAAUGCGUAGAUAUGUGGAGGAACACCGAUGGCGAAGGCAGCCCCCCUGGGUCAAGACUGACGCUCAUGCACGAAAGCGUGGGGAGCAAACAGG
rnacentral:rRNA from 1 species